AUAUACCUGCGCAAACCAAAGAAGGGCUUUGAGACUUACUCAAGAUAAAGCAGGAGCCGGCCGUGCCCUAUGGCAAGACAUGAGGAAAGCAAGGUCUCUGAGAGUUGGAGGACACUUAGUGUCCUAAUACCUUGAAUUUAUGCCUGAGCUGCUAAAUCUUUACAACUGUGGAUUCACUCAAAAACCAAAAGGGUCCAGAAAUAGACCAAAGUAUGGAAACAUACUAUACUUUGGGAAAUGUGGCAUUUCAGGCUGAUGGAAAAAAGCAAGUUAUUCAUUGAGUGAUGGGCAACCCAAUGGCAAUCAGACUUGAACCAAGGCAAUGGAGUGCUACUGAAGGAGCUGAAGAAAAUAAUUUGUAUUCUUGGGCCCUUCAAAUUACCUACAACCUCAACAGACCACCUAAGAGAAUGAAAGUGCUAGAACAAGAAAAAUCCACUUUCUGCUUUUUGACCAAAUCCCUUUAGUGACAAAGCUGUCCAAGAGAGAUCUCAAAAGCCUCAGAGUAGCCUAAAAGCUUGGCGUUCACUCACAGAAGGCCAGCUCUCCCCCCAGUUGCUGCACAGUCCUCAACAGCUCCACUCUGGACACCUUACCUGGAUCAAAGGCUCCUUCUCCACCCCUCUGUGGGGAACUCCUUUUCUCUAACCCUAGGUCUUUUCAAAAAUUCUAACCCAAAUAAAAGAAAAAGCAAUGCCUCGUAUCCCUGCUCAGAAUUGAGGGUAGAUAGUAAGUAAGCUCCCGGCUAUGAGCUCCCUGGACUUGCAGGCACCCUGUGUGAAGGCAGGAGGAAGCAUUUCCUCCGUGGGACACACACAGACUCAACAGAGGAAGGCUCUGCUGCAGGUUAGGGGUGAUGCCAAGUUUAGGACUCAGCCAUGCCAACUCCCUGCCCAUGUCCUUCACAUUAGAGAAAAGAUUGUAAAUGUUGCAGAGCUGCCUUUGGAAUAAACGUGGGACUAGCAAGUCAGGACCCUCUUUUCACAUACCUGCUAGGAAUAUAGGAUCCUUACCUGUACAACCCUCUCAAACAUAUGAGCCAAGGGGAGGUAGGAUAUGGUCACGUCCUCAGAACUGGGCUCAAAAGUAUGCUAUAGAUCAGGAAAUGGAAAGGAGACAACAGUGGAUUAAUGCCAACUUUCUCUUCCAAAGAAGAUUUAAACACUUCUUCUUUCUAGGACUGCUGCAUACAGUUGUACAGGUGUGCACUGUGCCCUAAGGGGUGCCCUAACUGCACUGAGUGCAGAGAUCUGCAGUGACCCUAAAAGAGCAAAACUCUAGACAAAGAUGCACCAGUAUUUGUCCACACUCAGGCCUUCAACCUGUUUCUUCCCCCUCUGCCUCCUCUAACUUUAAAAUCUUACGACAGAUUCCCAUUUUAACGAGGGCCUCCUUUUCAAUUGACCACUGACCUCCACACAUUUGAGAAAAGCAGCAGCAUUUGAAACGAUAUUUUCAUGGGUUAACAUGGCUCCUUUGGGGUCACCUGUAGGAAACAAGAGGUGGAAAGAUCUGUUAAAUGGCUAAUAGGUAGCCUUUGGCAUUGAAAUGAGGAGCUACAUUCGAUUGGUUCUGUUCCAGGGAGCCGAGAGCUUCUCCUGUCACUGUGUUUUUCUUAUGAACAGUGUAUGACUCUGCUUACGAAUGAUUGAUGCCUCCACAGAUUCUACUUCUGACAGCAGCCUUAGCCUUGUGCUACCACACAGGGCAUAGCCACAGUCACAGACAGCAACACAGUCAAAAAGAAAAUCCCAAGUAACCCGCCCCCCUCCCCGUGCUGUUUUCAUGUUGAAGACUUCAGAUCUAACAAUAUUACCUAGCCAUCACUUUAUAAACUGGGCACAGUGGAAUGGAUAUAACUUCUAGAUCAUCAUGGAUCACGUUAAAAUUUAUUGAGCUCUAAUAGCUAGGUAACUACAUACAGGGGAGAAAGAGGACGUGGAGUGAUCUGUGUAGAACUACCACUGGGCUAUCUUGAUUGAGUGAAACCACUCCAGUGAUGUCAACUUGAGAGAGUCUGGGCUGGGGGAGAAAGUUGACUUUCUGAUGCCACCUUUAGGAGCCCUGAAUUCCAUAGCAUGUAAACACCUCCCACCGUGUUCAGUGAAAUUUAUUUGCUUAUGCAUAGGUUUUUCUAUGCAGGCAUCUGUACUCAAAUCUUAGAUUAUAAGCCCCUAUGGAUAGGGCUUAUUGUAGGGUAUUUUUAGCAGCCCACUAGUGGUCAGUGGCUUAAGCCAUGUGUUUGGCUGACCAGGGGCCUCUGGGGCAACUUCCUGGGCACUGACCUGUGGUCCCACUGGUGAAGCAAAUGAUGCUCAGAUCUUCUGGUGCAGGAGGCUGGAGGGGAAAGCACCAGGGCUUAGUCUACCGUGAGCUUUGAAAGUUGAAUAUGGAAAGACUCAAAUUUGGGCAGAAGAAAACUUACCACGGGUUUUUUGAAGUUCUCUUUGCCUAAAUUCUGCAUGAACAGGAAACCAAGAAAGAAAGACAUUAGUUGAGUUGGGAAGACUUAGGACAAAUACAGCCCUCCUUUUCCCUUUUGCUUGAGAACACCUCUGUGGGAAUACAACCAAAAUUCCAACCUGGAUCAGGCCCAGAGGCAACAUUCAGGUACAAUGGAAGCCUUGGGGUAGAGUAUAAGUUUCCUCUAGAGUAUCAACUCAAGAGGGCCGAUCCCAAAUGUCCAAACUUCCCAUCAGACUCCUAUGGUUCAGUCUUCUAGGACCACUGCUAAAUCGUUUUGAAUAAAAUGAACAGUUAACAUUUCAAGGCUUACUACACUUUAUAUUACUGUCCUGAGCACUUUAUUUUCUCUCAUAUAACUCUUUACAACUCCUCUGUGAGGUAAGAACUAUUUCAUCCUCAUUUUACAGAGGGGGAAAGGAAGAUGUGGAGCAACUGGCCCAAGGUCACCUAACUAAUGGGGGUGGAGCUGGAACGUGAACCUAGGAAGCCUGGCUCCAGGACCAUAUCUUUAACUGCCACCUAGCCUCUGCAUUUAUAAAUCCUCUACUUGGAAGUCUGUGCACACUGACCACAGACCUUCCUCACCCACUGAGUUGUCUUAGGGAAAUGAUUCCCAACGCUUCACAGCAUGAGUGUAAUUUACUCUUCUCCUUCCACCCCGGAGAACAACAGCUUGCUCCCUUGUGUAGAAGUCCUGCAAGCUGCCCACAGCAUCAGCCCAGCCUUCCAGCUGUGAGCUGACUUUCAGACCCAUACCUCAGCAUCAAGCAGUGAUAAGAUCUCAACUCCGCAUUUCUCCCCUCUCUUCUUCAGGUCGUCCUCAAAGGGAUCCAUGAGGAUGAUCAAUUUCAGGCCCGGGGUGAGGCCUUUUUCCACAUUCUUAAUCAGGGCCAAUGCCUUUUGGGGCGUGUCACAGAUCACCGUGGCGAUCUCAGCUGAAAGCAGAAAUAGGGCCGGGGGUUACCCUCCUGCUUUGCUGUGUACCCGAUUGUCUUGCAAAGAGGAAGAGAUUCUUGAAAAUUUCAAAGCUACUGGGUCCCCAAAGGAGAUUAUGUCUGUAAAUCAGAUUUGUAAUGUAUAAAAUCUGAAACAUUCCACUGAUAAUAAAUAAGCUUAAUUGAAACAGAA